rnacentral:lncRNA from 1 species
GGGGAAAAGGUCUAAAAAUGAAAAAUGUACUUACUGAAAAUUAAGUGUAAUGACUGAAAUUUAAACAUGUGAGUUAUCUAGUAGGUAAGUCACUAAAAGAGUGCCAAAAGGCCUCUUAUUGCUAAGGCCCAUGAAUGCAAUCCAAGAAAACAAAAGAAUGGUUAGUGCAAUUGAUAGUUCACAUAACACAUUGGGAGCAAUUAAGAAAAGAAAUACAAUAAAAGCAAGUAAAAGGGGUGGAACCCCUUCCCUCGUGCCUAAUGUGCUUAAAAGAGGGUGAGGCUGACUCUAACCUAGGAAAAUGCUAACAUGGAUGCAUGAGGUUGGGGUUCACUAAUGCGACUAGACUCGAUAAGGUUUAAAAGGUCCCCAAGCCUUCAGACCUAAAGGCAAGGGUCAUCACUCCCAAGGCCUUCGAUCGGUGGCUCGAGUGAUCCCUUAGGUAGCGCUAUGGGCGCAGUGCACACCAUCCGCCUACCCAAGGCAAUCAAUCCUAAUCCUACAAGGCGGUGUGGGAUAGCGCCCACGAAAAAUAAAAUCAAAUGGGAUAACAAUAAAUAAACGUGCACGUAUGAAGUGUUCCCUAUUUUGAGGGAAGGGGUUGAGAACCACGCGAGGCUCUAAAGGUGACACACACCCCCCCAAAUGCAAUGCAAGCGCGAGAUAACAAGUAAACAUUCAUUCAAACAUACAUUCGUGAGUCGAGCGAUUGGUUUGAUUACGUACAUAAGACAAAAGGUCCUAAAAAUGAAAAAUGCAAUCCUAAUAUCCACAUGCCAUGCAUAGAAAGGGUAGAAAAAGGAAACAAAUGGUUAAGUCAAAAUGCUUGGACCCACUUAGGAAGUCCCCAGUGGAGUCGCCAACUGUCGCGCCCCAUUUUUUGAUAAGAAAAAUAAAUGGUUUGAGAAAGAUGUUUUUUAUUCAAUUGUGAUUGGAAAAUGAUUUUUUGUGAGUUGAAAAGACAUGGGUCUCAAUGGGACUUGAAAAGCGACGAUUUGACCCAAAAAAUAGUAUUAAAAAGGGUUUUGAAAUGAAAAGUUUGGAGUCGCCACUUGGUAAUGAUUUAAGGUGUACCAAGUCACCUAAAAAUGAGUUUUAAAGUCAAGUAGUAAUAAACCCUUUUUAAAACGACUCCGAGUCUACGUAAAACAAAGAAAAAGGUUCGGGAGUCACGUUUGACAAAGGGGAAGGCAAGGAUAGACUCCAAGGCACCCCUUUGACCUAGCCAAGGCUAGUUGCGUGACUUAACCCUA